rnacentral:rRNA from 1 species
GAUGAAUGCUGGCGGCGUGCUAAACACAUGCAAGUCGAGCGGUAAGGCCCUUUUAGGGUACACGAGCGGCGGACGGCUGAGUAACGCGUGGGAACAUGCCCCAAAGUGAGGAAUAAGCUCCAGAAAUGGAGUCUAAUGCCGCAUAUGAUCUUCUGAUUAAAGGAUUUAUCCGCUUUAGGAGUGGCCUGCGUACGAUUAGCUUGUUGGUGAGGUAAUGGCUUACCAAGGCGACGAUCGUUAGCUGGUCUGAGAGGAUGACCAGCCAGACUGGAACUGAGACACGGUCCAGACUCCUACGGGAGGCAGCAGUGAGGAAUCUUCCACAAUGGGCGAAAGCCUGAUGGAGCAACGCCGCGUGCAGGAUGAAGGCCCUCGGGUCGUAAACUGCUUUUAUGAGUGAAGAAUAUGACGGUAACUCAUGAAUAAGCACCGGCUAACUACGUGCCAGCCGCCGCCGUA